AGGAACAUCUUCAAGAACGUAACCAUAAUCACCGUUGACGAUCUUGGGGUUAGACAUAGCGGCUCUGGAGAAUCCGAUGGUGGAGAAAGCGGAAGCUGAAGCAGAAGAGGAAGCACUAAAACUGAUGGAAGAAGAGAGAUUCCGGGAAGUGGAAAUCCCCGAUUUAGAAGUAUGAAGAUAAGGAGAAGUGAACCAGGAGAUUGACGAGGAAUUAGGAGAGAAAAUGGAAUCCAUGCACUGAAAGAGAAACGCAAGAGCUUGAAUAUACGAAUGCGGGAAAACCCAUAAUUAUAGGAGCAACUGUUGACCAAAUGGAAACAAAAGACCACAAAAAGCAAAAAUAAAAUAAAAAUACAGAAGAAGAAGAAGAUGAUGAAGUACAAGAGAAGGCACUGCAAGUUUGCGUUUUGGCUUCUGAUUGAUGGUAUUGAAAGGUAUAUAUUAAUGCAAGCAUCCAAAAAAACAGGUGGCCAUUACUUGGUUUCACUUUUAGCAGUGGUUUUGGCUUGGCCGAUUAAACUUAGAAAAUUUUCUAGGGAGAGAGAAAGAGAGAGAAAAGGAGAAGGAAAGUUAAAUUUAGUAAUUCCA
rnacentral:misc_RNA from 1 species